CAAAGAACUUGCCCUUAUGUUUACCAAACAUGCCAUGCUUCCACCGCUUCCCAAAUUUCCCGUGCUUAAAUUUCCCAUGUUUGAAUUUUCCGUGACCAUGGCCAUAGUAUCCCCCAUGUGCAACAUGAUGAGCUCCAUGUGACAAAUGGUGAGCCCCGUAAACAGCAGCAGCCGCAGCCCCAGCCCCGGCUAAUAAUCCUCCCAUCCCAGGUCCAUGCAAACCGUGUCCUGUAAAAUUUUACCAUUCAUGUCAACUCAUUGAUAUACGAGGCAAAUGAAACAGCAGGCAUAGGACCCAUAAUGAAGGGUGAUGGAGCAUACCAGGAUAACCAGCUGGUGGAUAUCCACCAUGAGGUGGAUGAGGGUAUCCUCCAUGAGGAGGAUAUCCUGCAGGUGGGUAUCCGCCAUGAGGAGGAUAUCCCGCUGGUGGAGGAUAUCCAGCCGGUGGGUAUCCUUGUGGGGGAUAUCCUUGAGGAGGAUAUCCUUGUGGAGGGUAGGAUCCAGGCGGAGGAUAAUGUCCGGCGGCAUAGCCAGCAAGAUGAGAAAACAGCCCUUUGUCACUUGAUUCACCUUCCCUACCACCGCCCAUUUUUCUUCAACUUAAAAUUAACGAUUUCGAGUAA
rnacentral:lncRNA from 1 species